AUUGAACGCUGGCGGCAGGCCUAACACAUUCAAGUCGAACGAGUGGCGGACGGGUGAGUAAUUUCUGGGAAACUGCCCGCUGGCGGGGGCUAACUACUCGAAACGGUAGCUAAUACCGCAUACCAUCGGAUGUGCCCAUAUGGGAUUAGCUAGUAGGUGGGGUAACGGCUCACCUAGGCGACGAUCCCUAGCUGGUCUGAGAGGAUGACCAGCCACACUGGAACUGAGACACGGUCCAGACUCCUACGGGAGGCAGCAGUGGGGAAUAUUGCACAAUGGGCGCAAGCCUGAUGCAGCCAUGCCGCGUGUAUGAAGAAGGCCUUAGGGUUGUAAAGUACUUUCAGUGAGGAGGCGUUACUGGCAGAAGAAGCACCGGCUAACUCCGUGCCAGCAGCCGCGGUAAUAC
rnacentral:rRNA from 1 species